rnacentral:rRNA from 1 species
GCUGCUCCUAGUACGAGAGGACCGGAGUGGACGAACCUCUGGUGUUCCGGUUGUUACGCCAGUAGCAUUGCCGGGUAGCUAAGUUCGGACGGGAUAACCGCUGAAAGCAUCUAAGCGGGAAGCCUCCCUCAAGAUAAGUUCUCACAAAUCUUUAAGAUUUCUGAAGGGCCCUCGUAGACUACGAGGUUGAUAGGCGGGAUGUGGAAGCGCCGUGAGGCGUUAAGCUAACCCGUACUAAUUGCCCGUGCGACUUGACCAUAUAACC